rnacentral:rRNA from 1 species
CAGUCGCCGCGGUAAUACAGAGGGUGCGAGCGUUAAUCGGAUUUACUGGGCGUAAAGCGUGCGUAGGCGGCUUUUUAAGUCGGAUGUGAAAUCCCUGAGCUUAACUUAGGAAUUGCAUUCGAUACUGGGAAGCUAGAGUAUGGGAGAGGAUGGUAGAAUUCCAGGUGUAGCUGUGAAAUGCGUAGAGAUCUGGAGGAAUACCGAUGGCGAAGGCAGCCAUCUGGCCUAAUACUGACGCUGAGGUACGAAAGCAUGGGGAGCAAACAGGAUUAGAUACCCCGGUAGUCCCUGUCUCUUAUAC